rnacentral:rRNA from 1 species
UACGUAGGGUGCGAGCGUUAAUCGGAAUACUGGGCGUAAAGCGUGCGCAGGCGGUGAUGUAAGACAGUUGUGAAAUCCCCGGGCUCAACCUGGGAAUUGCAUCUGUGACUGCAUCGCUAGAGUACGGUAGAGGGGGAUGGAAUUCCGCGUGUAGCAGUGAAAUGCGUAGAUAUGCGGAGGAACACCGAUGGCGAAGGCAAUCCCCUGGACCUGUACUGACGCUCAUGCACGAAAGCGUGGGGAGCAAACAGG